rnacentral:rRNA from 1 species
UACAGAGGGUGCAAGCGUUGUUCGGAAUUAUUGGGCGUAAAGGGAGUGUAGGCGGCUCAUUAAGUCUUCUGUGAAAGCCCGGAGCUCAACUCCGGAAUUGCCAUUGAAACUGUGAGACUGGAGUAUGAGAGAGGUGAGUGGAAUUCCCAGUGUAGAGGUGAAAUUCGUAGAUAUUGGGAAGAACACCGGUGGCGAAGGCGGCUCACUGGCUCAUUACUGACGCUCAGGCGCGAUAGCGUGGGGAUCAAACAGG